AUUGAACGCUGGCGGCAGGCUUAACACAUGCAAGUCGAGCGGAGAUGAGGUGCUUGCACCUUAUCUUAGCGGCGGACGGGUGAGUAAUGCUUAGGAAUCUGCCUAUUAGUGGGGGACAACAUUCCGAAAGGAAUGCUAAUACCGCAUACGUCCUACGGGAGAAAGCAGGGGAUCUUCGGACCUUGCGCUAAUAGAUGAGCCUAAGUCGGAUUAGCUAGUUGGUGGGGUAAAGGCCUACCAAGGCGACGAUCUGUAGCGGGUCUGAGAGGAUGAUCCGCCACACUGGGACUGAGACACGGCCCAGACUCCUACGGGAGGCAGCAGUGGGGAAUAUUGGACAAUGGGGGAAACCCUGAUCCAGCCAUGCCGCGUGUGUGAAGAAGGCCUUAUGGUUGUAAAGCACUUUAAGCGAGGAGGAGGCUACUGAGACUAAUACUCUUGGAUAGUGGACGUUACUCGCAGAAUAAGCUCCGGCUAACUCCGUGCCAGCCGCCGCCGUAA
rnacentral:rRNA from 1 species